rnacentral:ncRNA from 1 species
GAGGGCCGCAUACAUUGAGAGGUGUACGUACGGUUCGGGGGAGAGCGUUUGGAAACCUAUCAUAGAAAUAUGACAAGGCGCUUAUCCUAC